UGGGGAAUUUUGGACAAUGGGCGAAAGCCUGAUCCAGCAAUGCCGCGUGUGUGAAGAAGGCCUUCGGGUUGUAAAGCACUUUUGUCCGGAAAGAAAUCCUUGGCUCUAAUACAGUCGGGGGAUGACGGUACCGGAAGAAUAAGCACCGGCUAACUACGUGCCAGCAGCCGCGGUAAUACGUAGGGUGCAAGCGUUAAUCGGAAUUACUGGGCGUAAAGCGUGCGCAGGCGGUUUGCUAAGACCGAUGUGAAAUCCCCGGGCUCAACCUGGGAACUGCAUUGGUGACUGGCAGGCUAGAGUAUGGCAGAGGGGGGUAGAAUUCCACGUGUAGCAGUGAAAUGCGUAGAGAUGUGGAGGAAUACCGAUGGCGAAGGCAGCCCCCUGGGCCAAUACUGACGCUCAUGCACGAAAGCGUGGGGAGCAAACAGGAUUAGAUACCCUGGUAGUCCACGCCCUAAACGAUGUCAACUAGUUGUGGGGAUUCAUUCCUUAGUAACGUAGCUAACGCGUGAAGUUGACCGCCU
rnacentral:rRNA from 1 species